AGUGGGGUCACAUUGGCCACCUCCUAGAAGCUUCUGAAUAAAACUUUUUGUAGUACUGAGUAGAGAGCAUUGUAGUAUCUCUCAUGGGAAGUUUGUCCCUUGGUACAUCACACUCCACAGAGAACAGAUGAGUGUGAUCCUCAUGUUACUAACAGAGGGAUCUCGGAAGUGGAGCAGUAGCCUGACACUUCCGGGAAAAAGGUAGAGAAACUCCAUGUGGAAGCCAGCUGAACGCUGGGGCUCCUUCACCAGCCCCACAUGGGCGGGCACAUUGGCAUGCAAGGAUGGAUGCCCAGUCUUUGUGGUCCUCAUCACUUGCUCUGACUUUGAUCAGCUCCCUCAGUGAUUGGGACCUCCAACUUGAAGGCUGUCCACUGCACAUAAGUCUGCAGCCACAAGCUGGAAGCCUCUUAGAGAAAGUGGACAGGCUCUGCAAAAUCCAUUCUGCAGGACAAGUGGCAGAAGCAGAGUGUGAGAUACGCUGCAUGGUGUGCCUUUCAUUGAUGACUCUUCAUUCCAUAGUGAGUUGAAUAGUAGUGCCUUGUAAGCACGGACAGAGCAAUAAUUCCCCCUGAAGUCUGCAGAGGUUUUCUUAAGUGUGACCUUUCUUAUGUCAGCAUAUUAAAUUAUUCUUAAAUUAUGUAAUAGUGACUGGAAUUUGGGAUUCUGAUGUGACUUGUAAAUUUGAAGUGCAUUUUCAGGAAAAUUGUCAAGAUUCCCAGGUGACUCCUUUUCAUUCCUUGCAGCCGUUCUGGUAUGUGAUCCUUCUUGAGUUUGUCAGUUGGGAGGAGACACCCUUUGCCUUCUGUUCUGACUCGGUAGCUGCCUCUGGCUUGCACUACUCAAAAUCUCAUUUGUUAGAGGUCCAUUUGGACAGCUCUUGUGGUUUCACAUCCACAAGAAAAGAGGGUCCUGCAUGCCUCAAGUACAUGGCUUCCUGUGGACCAUAAACACAUCAAGUACAAGGGGUUCCAGGACCUGCUGGACUUCUGCUACACUGCCGUGCUCAUCCUUCCUGGGUAACUCCAUCAUGGUUCCUUCCAGCUCCUCAGAGUGGUCCUGCUUGGCUCCUGAGUCCACACAGAAGUAUCAAUACGUAGUUCACCCCUCUUCUUUACCCUCGUUAGGUUGCGUUCUGCUGAUAACAGGAGCUUCGUGUCGCCUUGAUGAGGGACUCAUGCCUGAUGUAUUUCCAUCCUCCUUCCUGAAGAGAAGCAGCGCUUUAGACAUAGGGGCCUUGGCUGUCUGAGGAUUGUCUCUAGAAAGUUCACAGCACUGUGUUCUAAAUGUGGCCUCUCAGUGUGCUGGUCACUGCCAUUGUGGUUGCCAAGGAAAUCUUUCUCAACUGCCAUGCACUGAGCCUCAGAAGCCCAGUGUGCCUCAGGCAUGGGAAGAUCCAGAGUUGACUUAUGAGUAUGGAAGCUUGCUAGGACCUGAAGAGAGCCAGAGACACUCCUGUAGAGAAAGUGUCUGUGUCAGCAAGAUUUGUCCAGAACCGUUGACCAACUUUUUAAACCCACAUGAGCCCGCAUUGAACCUAUGCAGACUAUCCAGUGCAUGUGUAUAAGUCAUCAUUUAAUCUUUUGAAAAGUGGGUUACACUAACCUAAGUUUUUUACAUAUAAAUUUCAGAAGCAAUACAGAUGUGUUUUGUGGAAAGGCUAUAUAUACUGCUUGUAAUAAAUUUCUGACUCUUGCUUAAUAAAAAUUAAAUGGCCCAAUUAUGGAAAACCC
rnacentral:lncRNA from 1 species